GACGAACGCUGGCGGCGUGCUUAACACAUGCAAGUCGAGCGGAAAGGCCCUUCGGGGUCCUCGAGCGGCGAACGGGUGAGUAACACGGGAGUAACCUGCCCCAGACUUUGGGAUAACCCUCGGAAACGGGGACUAAUACCGGAUACGACACAGCUUCGCAUGGGGGCUGGGUGGAAAGUUGUUCGGCUUGGGAUGGGCUCGCUGCUUAUCAGCUUGUUGGUGGGGUGAUGGCCGACCAAGGCGACGACGGGUAGGCGGCCUGAGAGGGCGACCGCGCACCCUGGGCCUGAGACACGGCCCAGACUCCUACGGGCGGCAGCAGGGGGGAAUAUUGCACAAUGGGCGGACGCCUGAUGCAGCGACGCCGCGUGAGUGAUGACGGCCUUCGGGUUGUAAACCUCUUUCAGCAGGGACGAAGCGUAAGUGACGGUACCUGCAGAAGAAGCGCCGGCCAACUACGUG
rnacentral:rRNA from 1 species